rnacentral:rRNA from 1 species
ACCUGUCCAAAACAGAACGACCCGAGAACUAACGAACAUUACUAUCGGUGGGCCGGUUUCUUUGUUGAUCCCGUGCCUGCUGAUUCCGUGGUUUCGUGUAUGCUCCAUCCAAGAGAUUUUUUCUCGGUCGGGUCAUGCGCGGAGCUUCCGGAUCUCACAAAACCCCGGCACGAAAAGUGUCAAGGAAUAUGGAACAAAACAGCCUGCUUUCGCUGCCCCGGAGACGGUGUGUGUGCGUAUGCUGUGCUGCAAUCUUAAGUAUAAAACGACUCUCGGCAACGGAUAUCUCGGCUCUCGCAUCGAUGAAGAACGUAGCGAAAUGCGAUACUUGGUGUGAAUUGCAGAAUCCCGUGAACCAUCGAGUCUUUGAACGCAAGUUGCGCCCCAAGCCUUAUGGCCGAGGGCACGUCUGCCUGGGUGUCACAAAUCGUCGUCCCUCCAUCCCAUGCGGAUACGGGACGGAAGCUGGUCUCCCGUGUGGUACCGCACGCGGUUGGCCGAAAUCUGAGCCAAGGACGCCACGAGUGUCUCGACAUGCGGUGGUGAAUAAAAGCCUUUUCGUAACGUCAUUCACUCUUGUCCGGAAGCUCGAGAUGACCCAAUGUUCUCAAAGCAACC